AACGUAGGAGACGAACGUUAUCCGGAGUUACUGGGCGUAAAGGGCGUGCAGGCGGCUUGAUAAGUUCGGCGUGAAAUUUCCCGGCUUAACCGGGGGAUGUCGUCGGAGACUGGCGAGCUAGAGGGUGAUAGAGGCGUGUGGAAUUCCGGGUGUAGUGGUGAAAUGCGUAGAGAUCCGGAGGAACACCAGUGGCGAAGGCGACACGCUGGGUCAUACCUGACGCUAAAACGCGACAGCAUGGGGAGCGAACGGG
rnacentral:rRNA from 1 species